AGGGGAGGAGGAGGUGGCUGGCGUGGGGCAGGGAUGAGGCGGGGAGAGAGAGAAGGGGCCCGGAACACCUCCAAGGAGAUGAAGCUGCAGGAAGAUCCCCUCCGAGGGGCCUUUGAGACGCUGCGAGCUGCGCCCGGGGCGGGGGUGCAGGAACUCGCCAGGCUGCGUGUGGAUGCAGGGGCUGGGGAGGAGCCAGAAGAGGAGAAGGCACAGCGGCCAGUGAGGAAAAGCAGGAGAGAAGGUUCUGGAAGCCAAGAGCAGAAAGCGGCCACCAUAGGGCCUGCUGGUUGCUGUUGUCUCCACCAGGCUGAGACUGGGAGCCACCACCACUGGGAGCCACCACCGAAUAUAGCCCGUGUGGCCCUGGGGACUUGCCUGGAGCAGCUCCAAGUGUCCAGCAGGGAGAUAGGAUGCCAGGGUGUGGGCUGUGCCUGGCCAAGUGGCCAUGGGGGAGGGAGGGGGGCAGCCGGGGGUGGCCUGCGGGGAGGACAGCCUCAGACAGCGGAGGGCAGGGCAGACCCGGGUGCCGCCGGCAGCUGGAGGCCACUCCGCCCGCAGCGCCCUCCCCCGGAGCCCAGGCCUGCUGACCCCAGAGCGCGUGACGGAGGGAGGGCCCAGGGCCGGCCUGCAGCUUCCUUCCCCUUCUAGCCGGGUGGCCACGGGACGCCGCCUUGGCCUUAGGUUCCAUCCCCACUGCCCCCAGCGAGGUGCAGUGGGGAUGCCGGUGCAGCCGCCCCCCGGCACGCAAGGCCUGGCCUCUCAGCUGGACCGAGGAAGCCCUCCCGAAGUGGCCACUGCCCGUGGGUCCUGCGGCUCGGGCCGGGCCCCCACCCUGCCCAGCGGGGUCCCCUCCCCACCUGCUGAGCCCACCACAGGGACGUCACCUCGGCCUGGGGUCUCCAGCCCCCGAGGUGCAGACCCCACGGGGAGCCCAGACAAAUGUCACCAUGGUUUGCAGUUGUCACCCUGGGGGCGGGGGCUACGGGGUGCCAGGGACUCAGGAUGACAACCAGGGGCCUGUGGGCGGGAGGGGAGCAAGGAGGGGUUGGCGGUGAGGGAGGAAGGUCCCGGGAGAGUCUGCCUGCAGACGGGUGGCAGGCACCCCUCACAUCCGGGCGCCUGGCUUGGCCCCACAAGCCCCGUCUCACCCCUGUCCUGCCUCCUGCACUCCUCCCCCCCAGCCCCCAGGCUGUGCGGAGACAGGGCCUCUACUGGGUCACAAGUGAGACUGUCAAGGACACGCUCAGCAACCCCAGCGGCGCUUUUGCAGAAGCCAGUGUCCGGGUCUGGGGACAGUCAGGGUCUUCCCCCUGCAGAGGCUGGGGGCCCUCCUUGCUGUGGCCUGGACAGGGUCCCCGACGGGCGGAGGGUUGGGGGGCCCGCUCCGAGCUCCCCCACGGGCAGGAUGACCUUCCAGCCCCCCAGCCGCCCACCAGAGAAGACCCCUCCCUCAGCUUCCAGGGCUGAGGCUGCAGAGACCCCAGCUCCGCACGAGGAGGGCAAGCACUUGCCCCGGAGCCCCGGGCAGACCUGUGGUGCCAGCAACGGUGCGGCCGUGCCGCCCUGGGCCUCGGGGGGCCUCCCACCUCUGCCCCCUUCCUCUGCCCCUCCUGCCACCUAACCCCAUGCUCAUGCUGGGUUGAAGAGUCCUGCCCCGCAGAAAUGUCCAUGCCUGGGAGGGCUAAUUUUACGUGUCAACUUGAUGGGGCCACGUGGGUCCCAGACCCUCGUGCGUCUGGGCCUGCCUGGGAGGGUGUUUCUGGAUGUGACUAGCAUCUGAAUCGCCGGACCCAGGGAGCAGACGGCCCUCCCCAGCAUGGGUGGGCCUCGUCCAAUCAGUCGAAGGCCUGAACAGAACCAAAGGCCUAGCCUCCUGCAAAUGAGAGGGACGCCCGCCUUUAGACUGAACUGUACCAUCGGCUCCCCUGGGGCUCCAGCCUGGAGACCACUGAUGUUGGGACCAGCCAGCCUCCAUGACCUGGUGACCAGUUCCUUAGCAGACAGCAAGGUGGGUGGACAGACAUCCUACUGCUUCUGCUUCUCUGGAGAGCCCCGACUCGUCUGGUAUCCUCGUCCCCAGGACCUGCACUCAGUGACAUCAGGUCGUACAGGGACUUUGCAGGUAGUUACAAGUAAAGGAAGGAGGAGUUCCCGUUGUGGCUCCAUGGGUUAAGGACCUGACGUUGUCUCUGUGAGGAUACUGGUUUGAUCCCUAGCCUGACUCAGGAUCUGGCGUGGCUCUGGCAUAGGCCGAGGCUGAAGCUUCGAUUUGACCCCCCAGCCUGGGAACUUCCAUAUGCUGCAGGAGCGACUGUGAAAAGAAAAAAAAUUAAGGCAAGGGCCUCAAGAUGGGGAGACUAUCCUGGAUUAUUGGGGUGAACUGUUCCUGCCCUGUUGUCAACACAGGGUCCUGACAAGAGGAGUCCAAGAGUCUGGCCGACUCCGGCCGCUGCCUUUGCAGGUGCAGGAGGCGGGCUGGGGGCCAAGAUGCGGGCGCCCCUGGAUGCUGGAAAAGGCCGGAAGAGUCCUCCUGGGGGAGCCCCGGAGGAGCCCGCCAGUGACACCUUGAUUUCAGUGCCAGGAGACCCGUGCUGGGCCCCCCGCCCCGAGCUGAGCCGUGAGAGGGUGCUGGACGGAGAGCCCCGCCCUUGCCCAGCUCCAAGACAGAAGAAAGAGCCUGGGGUCAGUCACAGAGAUGUCAUCGGGCUCGGUUCAAUGGACGGGCGAGGUCUUGCGGAUUCCAGGUAGAAGGAAGGCUGACUUUAAAAACUGCACAACCUGAUCGUUGAGAGGUGACCAGGAGCGGGAUUGCUGGAUUGUACGGUAGCUCUGAUACGGGAAAGACGAUACCGGAUCCGGGCUCUUGUCCACGGCCGUCGAGGAAUGAACUCCGCGAACACACAGGGAGCAAGCAAGCAGAGCUUUUACUACAGGAAAGCAGAUGGCUCCCAGGUUGCUGGGAGCGGGGAGAAGACCCCCUUUCUCUACUGUCCUGUAGGGUUUUUAUUCCUCUUAGUUGGCGGGGGUGGGCGUGGGGGGGCACCACCGUGGGAUCCGGAGAGCCGUGGUCUUCUCCCCUUGACCUUGUUCAAUUACCCUUAUCGGCCCUUGUCCACUAGGGCCCUGGGGCUGGAAACGUCCUCUCCGUCUCAUUUUUCUUCGUCCUUUUUGUCCGUAGACGGAGUCACGGGGCUUAGGGAUGAAUGUCCAUCUGGGAGCAGGUGCACUCCCUACCCUCAACAAGGCCCGUGGGGAUGCUCGUCCCCGGAGCCCUUAAGCCACAGGCGUUCAUCCGUGGCCACAUCGAAGAACGUACGGAAGCCCCUGCUCCUGCACCGACGGCCUGGCUCCCGGCAACGCCGGAUCCUUAACCCACGGAGCGAGGCCAGAGAUGGAACCUGCAACCUCACGGUUCCUAGUCGGAUCCAUUUCCGCUGUGCCACGACGGGAGCUCCCUUUGUGUGCGUUUUGAGUGAGUCCCACACGGGUGGCUUCGGUAUCUUAGUGAUGGAAGCAGGGGCAGGGUGCAUGGCCUGCUCACCUGAGGCAGAGGGGCUUCCACUGCUGAGCUUGGAGAUGGAGGGGCAGGUAUGGCAGCUGGGGGCACACUGGGCUCAGCGGGGGGCAGCACCCAGGGCUGUGGUGAGCAGAGGGUGGGCUGCGUGAGUCCAGCUCAGGAAAGAGCUCUGGGCCAGCCUUCGAAUUUGGGAGCUGGUGUCUUCAUGGAAUUUAAAUUGAGCCCUGGGGACUGAGCGUGCCCAGAAAAAAGGUGGGGACUGAGUCCGCGUGGACCCUUGAGCCGGGGGAAGGUGAGGGGUGGGCGAAAACAGCCUGGGUGCCUUUAUCUCCCGGCCAGGGGAUGGGUGUGGGUCUCCCCGCCUCCGAAUUCAGUUCUAGACAAUCAAGGCUUUAACUAAGAAGCGGAGCCAGAGAAAGCCCUGGGCGGGAGUUCCCUGGUGGUGCAGCGGCUUAAGAACCCGGUGUUGUCCCUGCUGCGGUGUGGGGUGGGUCCCUGGGUGUCAGCCGAGCCCAGCGGACGGAAGUGAGAUGUCACAGGGCCCAGGUGCCACUCCUGACUCACGCAGGCGUGACCUCUGUGACCUUGUGAGCUCACUUGGCUUCUGUGCCUCCGCUCCCUGUCUGGAAGAUGGGGCGAUGGCGCCACCACCUUCUGGGCUAAAUGAGCUGAUGACGGCCCAGCAUGCGGGACUCCCUGGGGGCGGGACUCCCUGGGGGGCGGCUGUCGUUAUCACCACUGCCCUUUGGGGUGUUUGUUGUCACAACUCAGAGCGGGCCAGGCCCUGCCUGCCAGGAAACCCAGAGGCCAGAAGCCUGGGUGAGGGGGGAGUCUGGUGACCUGCAAUUAAAAAAUGUUUCAUUCGUUUUUAAAAAUGUUUUCCAUGUGUAUUUGGGUAAAACCCCAACAGGCAAAGUUGAAAGGCUCUGACAAACUCGGAAGGAGUAGCAAUCACAGGAAGCUUCAUCCCCUGACAUCCAAGGACCUCCUGUAAAUAGGGAUUCAGAAAAUGUCUUGGGUCCCUGCUGUGGCUCAGCCGGUUCCGGGCCCGACACAGUGUCUGUGAGGACGCGGGUAGGAUGCCUGGCCUUGCUCAGUGGGUUAAGGAUCCAGUGUUGUCACAGCUGCAGCAUAGGUCCCAGAUGCAGCUCGGAUUCCGGUGCGGCCUUAAAAAAAGAAAAAGAAACAGAAAAGUUCUUUUUGUUUGGCUGUACCUGUGGCCUGCAGACCACGUGAAGGAGCUCCUGGGGCUCAAACCUAUACCCGCGCAGCGACAACAUCAGGUCCUUAACCCUCUGAGCCACCAGGGAACUCCAGUAAUUUUGAAAGCUAGCCCCACAGAAGCAUCGGCGCCUGAGAGAAGCAACAGUUCAGAGGGAAGGAAAUUCAGCUGGUCCUUGAACAGCAAGGGGGCUGAGGUGCUAACCCCGCUGCACUAGAAGGUCCACGUGUCACGUUUGCCUCCCCCAGAAUUAACGGCGAGCAGCCUACCCACAGCUGCCUCACCGACAGCACGGACAGGCGGUGAACACGUGUGUUGUGUGCCAUAGGUGCCUCAAAGCCAUGUGGUCGGAAGGCCAGUUGUACAACGGGCCUCAGCCUCUGGGGCCUGUUCACGGCUGGGAGUCCAGCUGCCCCCUCUCACAGGCGAGACGACCAGGCUGAAGCUUUCCCACACCCUCGACUCUGUCGCCCAGGAGAACGGGGACAGGGGCCCCGCACGCGGUGCUGGACGGAUGCGGGGAACGUGCUGGCGAUCCCGGAUGUCAGGGCCACACAGGCAGCCUGUGGACGUUCCCAGGCUAGGGGUCAAAUCGGAGCUACAGCUGAGGCCUACACCCCAGCCACGGCAACACCGCAUCCGAGCCGCUUCUGCAAACCACGCCAGAUUCUGCAAACCACGCCGCAGCUCUGCAGCCACGCCAGAUUCUCCACCCGCCGAGUGAGGCCAGGAAUCGAAACCUGAAUCCGCAUGGAGACUACGUUGGGGCCUUAACCUGCUGAGCCACAGCGGGGACUCCCAUAACUUCUAGUUCACCUGCUUCCAUGGUGUCGAGGCAAUUAAGUCUUCUCUUUCUUCUGACGUCAGUUUGCUGUAUCUUUUUCUACGAAAUUGUUCAUUUCAAAUACAGUUUCAAAUUACUUAGCCUAA